GGGGCUGCUCCUAGUACGAGAGGACCGGAGUGGACGCAUCUCUGGUGUACCGGUUGUGACGCCAGUCGCAUCGCCGGGUAGCUAUAUGCGGAAGAGAUAAACGCUGAAAGCAUCUAAGCGUGAAACUCGCCUCAAGAUGAGACUUCCCUGGAGACUUGAUCUCCCUGAAGGGCCGUGGAAGACCACCACGUUGAUAGGUCGGGUGUGGAAGCGCAGUAAUGCGUUAAGCUAACCGAUACUAAUUACCCGUGAGGCUUGAUCCU
rnacentral:rRNA from 1 species